rnacentral:rRNA from 1 species
UACGUAGGGGGCAAGCGUUGUCCGGAAUCAUUGGGCGUAAAGAGUCUGUAGGUGGCUUUUCAAGUCCGCCGUCAAAUCCCAGGGCUCAACCCUGGACAGGCGGUGGAAACUACCAAGCUGGAGUACGGUAGGGGCAGAGGGAACUUCCGGUGGAGCGGUGAAAUGCAUUGAGAUCGGAAAGAACACCAACAGCGAAAGCACUCUGCUGGGCCGACACUGACACUGAGAUACGAAAGCUAGGGGAGCAAAUGGG